UACGAAGGGGGCUAGCGUUGCUCGGAUUGACUGGGCGUAAAGGGCGCGUAGGCGGUUUGCACAGUCAGACGUGAAAUUCCUGGGCUUAACCUGGGGGCUGCGUUUGAUACGUGCAGGCUUGAGUUCGGAAGAGGGUCGUGGAAUUCCCAGUGUAGAGGUGAAAUUCGUAGAUAUCGGAAGGAACACCAGUGGCGAAAGCGGCUUCCUGGUCCAGCACCGACGUUCAGGCACGAAAGCGUGGGGAGCAAACAGG
rnacentral:rRNA from 1 species